AGAAUCAACGCUGGCGGCGUGCCUAACACAUGCAAGUCGAACGAGAAAGUGGAGCAAUCCAUGAGUAAAGUGGCGACCGGGUGAGUAACACGUGACUAACCUACCUUCGAGUGGGGGAUAACCUCGGGAAACCGAGGCUAAUACCGCAUAACAUCGUGAGAUCAAAGCAGUAAUGCGCUGGAAGAGGGGGUCGCGGCUGAUUAGCUAGUUGGCGGGGUAAUGGCCCACCAAGGCGAAGAUCGGUAGCCGGCCUGAGAGGGGCGUCGACGGACCGACGACCUGGAACGUGAAACACGGUCCAGACUCCUACGGGAGGCAGCAGUGGGGAAUUUUGCGCAAUGGGGGAAACCCUGACGCAGCAACGCCGCGUGGAGGAUGAAGUCCCUUGGGACGUAAACUCCUUUCGACCAAGACGAUAAUGACGGUACUGGUGGAAGAAGCACCGGCUAACUCUGUGCCAGCAGCCGC
rnacentral:rRNA from 1 species